rnacentral:rRNA from 1 species
AUUGAACGCUGGCGGCAGGCUUAACACAUGCAAGUCGAGCGAGCGGCGGACGGGUGCGUAAUGUCUGGGAACAUGCCUGAUGGAGGGGGAUAACUCAUGGAAACGGUUACUAAUACCGCAUACCAUCAGAUGUGCCCAGAUGGGCUUAGCUAGUAGGUGGGGUAAUGGCUCACCUAGGCGACGAUCCCUAGCUGGUCUGAGAGGAUGACAAGCCACACGGGAACUGAGACACGGUGCAGACUCCGACGUGAGGCAGCGGUGGGGAAGAUUGCACAAUGGGCGGAAGCCUGAUGCAGCCAUGCCGCGGGUGUGAAGAGGGCCUUCGGGGUGUAAAGCAGUUUCAGCGAGGAGGCGUUACUCGCAGAAGAAGCACCGGCUAACUCCGUGCCAGCAGCCGCGGUAAUUC